UUUCCUGAGAUUGGAACUUAGAUAAUUUAUUGGACCCACCACCACCACCCGAGGGGUUUCAGGAGGCGCUGUGAAGUCGAGCCUAGCUGCAUUCUGCAUGGUGUCAGCACCUGCUCUCCUUCCUCUCCAUCACCCGUGUCUGGAAUGAUAAAGAAGAUGAUGUAUGGGAAAGUCAAGUAUUUGAGCUGUACUUGGAAGAAAUGGCGCAAGGAGCAGUUGUUAAACAGUACCACUAUUCAAAUAAGCGAUUUCAAGAUUAACUUGGUCAUGCCCUUGGAUUUGGGCACAGUGCCAAGCGUGCAGGAACAGCACCAUCAAUCCAGCCAUCACCUGCAGGUGAGUGUGAGAAGUGCCAACUGAAGCAGGUAUGCUGGGAACCAAAGGGGCUUCUGCACCUGACUAAUGAAAUCUACAAGGACUGUGGCAUGGCAUUGUCUUCUCAUCCUUAGAAGAGGUUUCCUCACACCAAGACUGUGAAGUUACUCACUCAUAUGUUUAAUAUCUGUAUAGCUUCCUUUUAAAUCUAUUGAUUAUUUUUUAAAUUGAUACAUAAUAGGUGUCCAUAUUUUGGGGGCACAUGUGAUGUUUUGGUCCAUGCAUUUAGUGUAUAAUGAUUCAGUUAGCAUGAUUGAAAUACCCAUUUCCUCAAACAUUUAUCUUUUCUUUAUGUUGGGAACUUGAAUUCUCAUCUUUUAGGGCUUUUAACAAAUGUAUAUACAAUAAAUUAUUUAUAGUCACCCUACUCUACUGUCAAAUGCUAAAUCUUAUUUCUUCUACCUAAGUGUAUAUUUGUACCCGUUAAUCAACCUGUCUUCAUCUGCCCCUAGCCUUCACCUCUCCACCCUCUGGUGGAACCACCAAUUUACAGUAUAUCUCUACGCGAUCCACUUUUCUAGCUCCCAUAUAUGGGUGAGAACACGCGAUCUUUGUCUUUUUGUGCCUGUCUUAUUUCACUUAACAUAAUGACCUCCAGUUCCAUCCACAUUGCUCCAAAUGACAGGAUUUAAUUUCUUUUAAUGGCCAAAUAGUAUUCCAUUGUGUUUAUAUACCAUGUUUUACUAUUCAUCAUGAGGGACAUUUACACUGAUUGCACAUCUUGGCUAUUACGAAUAGUGCUGCAAUAAACAUGGUAGUUCAGAUAUCUCUUCCACAUACUGAUUUCUUUUCUUUUGGUUAUAUGCUCAGCAAUGGGAUUGCUAAAUAAUACAGUAGUUCUAUUUUUGUUUUUCUGAGCAGUUCUCCAUAAAGUUUUUCAUAGUGGCUGUACUAAUUUACAUUUCUUACCAGUAUACGAGUGUCCUUCUUUCCCCAAAUCCUGGCCCUGUAUCUGUUAUUUUUUGUCUCUUUGAUAAAAGCCAUUUUAAAUUGGGUGGGUUGAUAACUCAUAAUGGUUGUGAUUUGCAUAUCCCUGAUAAUUAGUGAGUGAUGUUGAGCAUUUUUCCAUAUACCUGUUGGCCAUUUGCACGUCUUCUUUUGAGGAAUGUCUAUUCAUAUUUGUACCCAUUUUUAAUUGGAUUAUUUGAGUUUUCUUUUCUUUUUCUUGAUAUUACGUUGUUUGAGUUCCUUAUGUGUUCUGGAUUUUAAUUCUUUCUUAGAUGCAUAGUUUGUGCAUGUUUUCUCCUGGCAUUUUUGACAACAUAGGUGAACCUAGAGGAGGUUAAGUUAAAUAAGCCAAGCACCGAAGGACAAGUACUACAUGACCUCACUCAUAUAUGGAAUCUGGAAAAGUUGACCUCAUAGAAGUAGAGAGUAGAAUAGUGAUUACCAGCAGGAGAGAGAGUAGGAAGGUCGAUGGGGGAGGUUAGUCAAUGGGUACAAAGUUACAGUUAGCUAGGAGGAAUAAAUUCUGGUAUUCUAUUGCACAGUAUGUUGAUUAGAGUCAAUAAUAAUGUAUCAUAUACUUCAAAAUAGCUAGAACAUAGGAUUGAAUGUUCUCAUUACAAAGAAAUGACAAGUGUUUGAGGUGAUGGAUAUGAUAAUUACCCUUUGAUAAUUAUACAGUGUAUGUAUGUAUCAAAACAUCAACACAGUACCCCAUAAAUAUCUACAAUUAUUAUGUAUCAAUUAAAACCAAAAUAAAGCUUUAAAAAUGUUACAUAGGCAGUAAAAAAUGUUAUAUUUUAUUAAUUGCUAGACAAGUGUGGGAAAACAAGUAAGCAAUUGACACCGCCAAAUUCUUAUUACAUUUGAGAUGAAAGAUUUAUUCACACCACAAAAGAAAGAUAAUCACAACAAAAUAUACACUAAUUUAAAAAAUGAAAGAUCAUAAUGACAUAAAAUGUUAUUUUUAAGUGUGUAAAAGUAUUUUGUUUGCUUCUACAUAAAUUUCUAUUCAUAAAAGAAUAACAAACAUUAAAAUACAGUGACAGUUUAUAUUUCUUCUAUAGAAUGAACAUAGAUAUAACCCUGAAGCUUUUAGUUUACAGGGAGUUUCUAUGACAAACUAAACUAAUGAUCAAACACAUUAGUUAUUUCCAGAUUCACAUAGAUACACAUUCACCCACUAAACUGAGAAAUAAGCAUUUCAUAUUCCCUUUCAUUUUGCUAUAAAGCAUCUUUUCUUUCUACUAAAAGAAAAGUGAG
rnacentral:lncRNA from 1 species